UAUAUUCUACAUGGAUAACUGUGGUAAUUCUAGAGCUAAUACAUGCAACCAGCCCGGCUGCCUCGUGCAGCGGGCGCAGUUAUUAGAACAAAACCAAUCCGGCCUUCGGGUCGGUUUACUGGUGACUCUGAAUAACCGAAGCGGAGCGCUAAGGUCUCGUACCGGCGCCAGAUCUUUCAAGUGUCUGACUUAUCAGCUUGUAGCGAGGUUAUGUUCCUCGCUUGGCUCUCACGGGUGACGGGGAAUCAGGGUCCGAUUCCGGAGAGGGAGCCUGAGAAACGGCUACCACAUCCAAGGAAGGCAGCAGGCGCGCAAAUUAUCCACUCCCGGCACGGGGAGAUAGUGACGAAAAAUAACGAUGCCAGAGUCAUUGACUUUUGGUAAUCGGAAUGGGUACACUUUAAAUCCUUUAACGAGGAUCUAUUGGAGGGCAAGUCUGGUGCCAGCAGCCGCGGUAAUUCCAGCUCCAAUAGCGUAUAUUAAAGUUGCUGCGGUUAAAAAGCUCGUAUUGGAUCCGGGCAGUCGACGCGCGGUGCGCCUUACGGUGUUACUGCGUGCUUCGGCGCCACUAUCCGGCCAUGUCUUGCAUGUACUUUACUGUACGUGCUUGGCGACCGGGACGUUUACUUUGAAAAAAUUAGAGUGCUUAAAGCAGGCAUAUGGCCUUGAAUAAUGGUGCAUGGAAUAAUGGAAUAGGACCUCGGUUCUAUUUUGUUGGUUUUCGGAGCUCGAG
rnacentral:rRNA from 1 species